GGAGUUUGGACCGUGUCUCAGUUCCAAUGUGGCCGUUCACCCUCUCAGGCCGGCUAUUGAUCGUUGCUUUGGUAGGCCGUUACCCUGCCAACUGGCUAAUCAAACGCGGGUCCAUCCUUAAGCGAAAUUCUUUUCCUCACUGUGUCAUGCGACACUGUAAGCAUAUGGUGUAUUAGCACUGAUUUCUCAAUGUUAUUCCCCUCUUAAGGGCAGGUUACCCACGCGUUACUCACCCGUCCGCCACUAGAAUUCUUGCAUCUUCAACCGAAGUCUCCGUCACAAGGUUCCCGUUCGACUUGCAUGUGUUAGGCACGCCGCCAGCGUUCAUC
rnacentral:rRNA from 1 species